UACGGAAGGCAGCAGUGGGGAAUAUUGCACAAUGGGCGCAAGCCUGAUGCAGCCAUGCCGCGUGUAUGAAGAAGGCCUUCGGGUUGUAAAGUACUUUCAGCGGGGAGGAAGGCGGUGAAGUUAAUAGCUUCACCGAUUGACGUUACCCGCAGAAGAAGCACCGGCUAACUCCGUGCCAGCAGCCGCGGUAAUACGGAGGGUGCAAGCGUUAAUCGGAAUUACUGGGCGUAAAGCGCACGCAGGCGGUCUGUCAAGUCGGAUGUGAAAUCCCCGGGCUUAACCUGGGAACUGCAUUCGAAACUGGCAGGCUAGAGUCUUGUAGAGGGGGUAGAAUUCCAGGUGUAGCGGUGAAAUGCGUAGAGAUCUGGAGGAAUACCGGUGGCGAAGGCGGCCCCUGGACAAGACUGACGCUCAGGUGCGAAAGCGUGGGGAGCAAACAGGAUUAGAUACC
rnacentral:rRNA from 1 species